GUUCGUCCCCGUCGAUUGUCUUUGCGCAAAGUUCAUGAACAUCAGAGAGCAACUCACAGGCUAUAAGGGUAGAUACACCACCACCGUCGACCGAACUGGAAUGGAUAUUUUCAUAUUGGGUAUGCAAUCUUAUUUUUAAUGAGAGACGCGAUAUCUCCGAGGGAAGUUUUGAAAGUGAAAUCAAGUAAAAUUUCGGUAACGAAAAAACAAUCAUGUGCAGGGCAUUAAGUGACACUUGUGAUUAAUAAAUUUGUUAAAUUUUA